rnacentral:tRNA from 1 species
AUUCUUCUAGUAUAAACAAUACCAGUGGCUUCCAACCACUAAAUCUUAACACAACAUUAAGGAAGAAUA